CCUACGGGAGGCAGCAGUGAGGAAUAUUGGUCAAUGGACGAGAGUCUGAACCAGCCAAGUAGCGUGAAGGAUGACUGCCCUAUGGGUUGUAAACUUCUUUUAUAUGGGAAUAAAACGUUCCACGUGUGGGAUUUUGUAUGUACCAUAUGAAUAAGGAUCGGCUAACUCCGUGCCAGCAGCCGCGGUAAUACGGAGGAUCCGAGCGUUAUCCGGAUUUAUUGGGUUUAAAGGGAGCGUAGGUGGAUUGUUAAGUCAGUUGUGAAAGUUUGCGGCUCAACCGUAAAAUUGCAGUUGAAACUGGCAGUCUUGAGUACAGUAGAGGUGGGCGGAAUUAGUGGUGUAGCGGUGAAAUGCUUAGAUAUAACGAAGAACUCCGAUUGCGAAGGCAGUUCACUGGACUGCAACUGACACUGAGGCUCGAAAGUGUGGGUAUCAAACAGGAUUAGAUACCCCUGUAGUC
rnacentral:rRNA from 1 species